rnacentral:lncRNA from 1 species
UGCAGACUCCAGGAUCUGAGUCUGGGAGAUCCCAACUGAGAUGGCCAGAAGGAGUUUCGAAAGCAGCAGGACACCCUCAACCCCCCACCGCACCUCUUCCUGGGUGCCUCCUGUGGAAAGAAGCACCAGGAGCCUUAGCUGGGACUACAGGUAGGAGCAUGUGGCAGGGGCCUGGCUAGCUCUGCGGUUCUACAGCUCUGCGGGUCUUUGAGACCUUCUGUUCCCCCAGGCCAGCCACGCUUCCCCUCCUGAGCUCUACGGGCAUUCCUGCCAUGAGGACUCAUGAUCCUGAAGACAAUGAAGAAGAAAUAUGACAGUCGGUCCCGAGUGUGGAAUGAACACUCUGCUCUCCCAGCUGGGGAACUCCGUGAGGACCCACAUAAGCAAUGCAGAAGCAUUGGGAAACACAUGCAAUAACUGGGGCCAUCUGUUUUCUCCUGAAAACUAGUGGUGGGCUGGAUUCUCUGAAGAGUUUCUCAAGGCAUGUUGGACCAGAACAACCUGCUCAGAGAAGAGGCAAGGUCCCUGCCUGGGCCUCUGAGGUGUUGGAGGUGGGGCCAG